GGGUGAUUAGCUCAGUGGUAGAGCACUGCCUUCACACGGCAGGGGUCGCAGGUUCGAACCCUGCAUCACCCACCA
rnacentral:tRNA from 1 species